GGGGAACCCAACAUCUUUAAUAGGAUGUUACGAUUGUGUGAAUACAUAGCACAUUCGAGGUAGACGCAGAGAACUGAAACAUCUAAGUACCUGCAGGAAGAGAAAGAAAAUUCGAUUCCCUGAGUAGCGGCGAGCGAAACGGGAAAAGCCCAAACCAGCAAGCUUGCUUGUUGGGGUUGUAGGACUCCAAUAUGGUAGUUCUUUCAGAUAGUCGAAUGACUUGGAAAAGUCAGUCAAAGAGGGUAAAAACCCCGUAGACGAAAUGUGGAAGACACCUAGGAGGAUCCUGAGUACGGCGGAACACGAGAAAUUCCGUCGGAAUCCGGGAGGACCAUCUCCCAAGGCUAAAUACUCCCUAGUGACCGAUAGUGAACCAGUACCGUGAGGGAAAGGUGAAAAGCACCCCGGAAGGGGAGUGAAAUAGAACCUGAAACCGUGUGCCUACAACAAGUCAAAGCCCGUUAAUGGGUGAUGGCGUGCCUUUUGUAGAAUGAACCGGCGAGUUACGAUUGCAUGCGAGGUUAAGUUGAAGAGACGGAGCCGCAGCGAAAGCGAGUCUGAAUAGGGCGUUUGAGUAUGUAGUCGUAGACCCGAAACCAUGUGAUCUACCCAUGUCCAGGUUGAAGGUGCGGUAAAACGCACUGGAGGACCGAACCCACGUACGUUGAAAAGUGCGGGGAUGAGGUGUGGGUAGCGGAGAAAUUCCAAACGAACUUGGAGAUAGCUGGUUCUCUCCGAAAUAGCUUUAGGGCUAGCCUCGGAAUUGAGAAUGAUGGAGGUAGAGCACUGUUUGGACUAGGGGCCCAUCUCGGGUUACCGAAUUCAGAUAAACUCCGAAUGCCAUUCAUUCAUAUCCGGGAGUCAGACUGUGAGUGAUAAGAUCCAUAGUCGAAAGGGAAACAGCCCAGACCACCAGCUAAGGUCCCAAAAUAUAUGUUAAGUGGAAAAGGAUGUGGGGUUGCACAGACAACUAGG
rnacentral:rRNA from 1 species